rnacentral:lncRNA from 1 species
CGAAGUCAAAAUUUGAUGAGAACUUUGUUUCACUUUGAGGGAAGUGCCAACCUUGAUCAGGUGGAUAAAGUCAUGUUACCUUGAUCAUAUUGUUUUCAAUGUGUAUUCUCUCUUCAAGUUAAAAGUUAAAAUCCAAAAGUAUUCAAGUCCAAAGAUUGUUGUACAGCAACACUCCCCUGUAAUCAGAUAUAAAAUUGAGUUUGGUUCCGAGUCUUCCUUUGCUCAUAAUUAGUAAAAGGUUAUUGACUCGGUGGAUGUAGCUGUGCCUCAAACAUUCAAGUUUUCUGUUUCUCCACAUUGGUGUCGCAUUGUAGCAUAACCAUCAAUUUACUUGACAAAGUUCUUAGGUUGGCGCCUGUAUCUGAGUAAUGACUAAACGUUGCCUAGAAACUGGCUUCUGAUCAAUAGGGAACUGUUCAUUUAGCUCCUUCAUAAACAAUAGAAGGCUAAUAAUUCAGUAAUGCAGUUGUGCUCCAAACACAAGAACAAUAAUAUUUAUCCAGUGACUAUCUGUUUAUUUGUUGUUGAAGAAAAAUAAUAUUUAACUUAAUAUCACGAUGAAAGGCAGUUACCAGAUGUGACGGUAACAUCAUUUACUCUUUUGCAGCUUGACCGACAAACAUUAUCCAUUGCAAUCCGUUUCUUGAAGGCAAAGACUCCUGAACAAAGGGCAGCUGUUGAUUUAGAAACCCACUAUUCAAAGGUCGAUAUUGUUGUCCAUCUUGUGUAUCAUUGUCCUGUUUUGCCACACCAAGAUAAGUAACAUUUUCAAAAGUUAACAGAGAAAAAAAAAUCAUUUUUUCCCGUUCCAAGAAGCUCUGCCCUUAUUACAUGAUCAGAAGGUGUUGGGCUUGUUUUGCAUUUUACAUCUUACAAGUGUCUUGGCUUAAGAUGACUAAUUUCAUUAAUAUGUAAAAGAUGGCAUCCAACCUUAUAACAGUUCAUGUAUUUACUUAUUCUUUACUUAAUCUCAAGUCAGUCAUCGAAUAAAUUUUAUCGAGUGCAGGAAUACCUUGAGGAGUAUGUCGGGCAUAUCACAAGAAGAGUCAUUUUGUAUCAAGUAAGACAGUUGAACUGGUUGGACUUUUACUAUUCUGUUUUUAUAUACCUCGGGAACAGAAAUUGAAUAAUAACUCUUUUCUCCCAAAUAUUUGAUGAUAUGUAAGUAACCUUCACUUUCACUCAACUGUUUUAACUUCUACAUCGGUGGAUGUAUAUUGAAAAUGGAAAUCUAAUCCAAGAAAAAUAAACAAAUGUACAUACAAGCAAUGUAGACCAUGGGGAUAAAAGUUAUGAAUGCCCUAAUCUUAUUGUGACGGAUUUUGAAUUUGGCAAUGAUUCUAAAAGACCAAUCAGAACCAACUGGCAUUGUAACUGUGAAUAAGACUAUCAUUGCUGAUUUUACAAGAAGUCUCUCAAAGACAGCCUGAUUAUCUUCAAGUAAUGGUUUCUAUAUUGGUCUUAUCACAUAAAAGUCAAAGAUAGGAAAAAGUGGCAAAAGGAUUAAGUUUCAAAUUGUCUUUGGUGGUACUCAUUUGCUAUAGUAAAGGAAGAUGCAGGGGAUCAAUUCUAUCAACAAUUGGUAAUGGCUUGCCAUGAUUUAUCUAUUGGAAGAACUUCGCAAGGAAUACUUUUCUAGUAUCUUUGUACAUAUUCUCAGUGAGGUUUAUUGGCUUUAGUAUUGAACUAGCAAGAUGAGGUUGCUUUCACGUUUUCAGGCUAGGUGCCCUUAUUUGGAACACAUUUGUGCAGGAAUACGUGAAAGGCAUAUCAGCGAGUGGGAUGCAAUCGAAUGAUGGCUUUGAUGGGCAAAUAAAUGCAUGCUGGACACAUAAAAUGUCACGAACGGAACUCGAGUCAAUCCGCUCUGCAGGAUUUCUCAUAUCAGUCAUUCACGGCAGGUAUUUUUCUUCUCGAAAGCUUACUUCUCUUUCUUAUCACUCCUUUUGGAAUAUUCCCGCUUAGAUAACUAAACUAACCAGAUCUUUCCUGAAUACAUAGGCACGAUAUCAUUGCUCAAUUACACUAUGCAAAGAGGCUUGCUGGAAAGCUGCAGCCUUUUGCUAGAAUGAUAGAACUACACGGAGGGCAUCUAGUGAGUCAUGAGAGGACUGAAGAGGUAUUUGAUCUAUUUUGUGACAUGUUUAAAUAUGAUGAAGUUGGCCACCGAAAACAAUUCGCUUGGUGCCAACUCUAUAUUCAAAGACUAUGUAAACUAUGCAAAGUGUGCCUCGUAGUAGGUACUACACAAGAGUCAAUGAAAUCAGAACAACAAUUGAAAAACUUUUGUUAGUGCACAUUGGUUUUUAAACCAGAAAUACAUAUCCAAAACCCUUCAGAAUAGGGCAUGAAUCAUUCAAGGAGUCGAGGAUGCUUGCAUCACUACUAGUACCCUGAUCAAAAUGAAUUAUUACUUAGAAUUCUUUAGGUGUUACAAUCUUUUCACCAUUCUUUCAAGUAUUAUGUUUCUGCAACUAAAAUUAAUCAAACUUGCUUGACUCUCAAUUCUCAAAUGCAAUGCAUGCUUUCAAUAUCUACUAAAUACUUAACGUAUCAGAUAGCAAACAUUGAAUAAGAGGGCUGUCUAUAUCACUGCCAAAUGAAGCAUGUGCAAAGUCUUAAAUAAUGAUUGACAAGCUUGCAAUUAGCAUGGAGACUCAAAAAUCUGCAUAUAAAAGCAAUUAGAAAUAUUAUACGACUGAUUUAACGACGAAAAUUACAUGUAGUAGCCAACUUCUAAAUUCUUUAUUCAUGAUACAAUGCAGAUUACUUAUGAAUUUGUCUCUAUUAUGGCAUCCCAACACUUCGUAAAUCUAAUCUUUGGAGCUAUAAAUUUUAUAUUAAAUGUUCAAAUCCAAAACUUGACACAUAAAGUGCAAGCAUAAUAUGUUAAAAGGUAAGAUGCAGGACAAAAAUUGUGGCUCGAAAGUCCAUAAUUUGUCUAGUUAAAACUGAAUAAUACUCGUCAAAAUUACAAUUCAGUUCAUAUAACGAGCAUUAAUAUUGAAUUUUAUGUAUUUCAAUUGAAUGUAUUUCUACUAUCAAAACACUCCAUUAGUGAGUUUGUUUUUUCCUUGCAUGUUUCAAUAGAUUUUCUUGCAUUAUGCUAAUUGCGAGCAUUGUUUAGACGUUUUAAAAUUAAGAUUCCCAUUGCCCUCCUUGCUUCUACUUUGUGCAUUUGAGGUUGUGUGUUCUAUGCGUCAAGGCAACAUUUGACUAGAUUAACUCGUGUCGUUGAUACUAAUACGUUGAUAGCAUUGGAAAUAUCAGGUCAAUCAAGCUCUUGUAGAAUUGAUCGAUGCAUCAGAAAGGAACAUAAGCCCGUAUGAUUGGACAAACUUUCCUGUGGAAAGCCCUGGUAAGUUUUAGUGACUCAACGACGAGUAUCCCCUCCCCUUCUUUUUCUUAUGUAGGUAUACAACUGACUAAACGAUGACCAUCACCUUAAAGUGUGACGCAAUUGCCUAAAAGGGCUAAGAAUCGAUACCGUGAGGCUUCUUGAGCUUCAAAUUCAUUUUUCUCUCUGUUUUGCUUUUCUUUGGGGAGGGGAUUUAUGGACGCUUUGGAUCGAACGAGCCUUUUUUCAUGUGCUUCCAAACAUAACAGAUUAACAGUUUGAUCAUAAAAGAAACUGCAUAUACCUAUUGAACUCUAUUUCGUUGCAUAUAUUCUACACAAUGUCGUGUUCUCUUUUCUGAUGGUUUCUAGUAAGCAUUGAUCUUUUUCCAGGGUGGGCGGUAACAAGGAUGACGUUUGGACGUACAAGUUCCGAAGGAGGAAGCAGGCUUUCUUUCAUUGUUGACAUUUUAGAAAAGCUACGCCUUUUCCCAUUUUACUUUGUUGGCCUCUGUGUGUUGGUUUUUGAGUAUCUACGAAGAGGUUAAAGAAGUCUAAAACCAGUAAGAAUUGGCUUGGCCCUCACAUGAGCUAUUACAGGCCAAGCAGCUUUUUCCCACGGGUAUAUCAUUUUGUCAUGCUCUUUCACACCUUGCAUUAUAGUCUCUUCUGUUAUGGGACAUGCCUAAAUUUGAAUAACAUGACCUAACCGCUUGUUCGCCUUCUUUUGCAGGGAUCUUUUCAGUUUGUAACCCCAGAGAUGUAAAUUUUUUUAAUUAUACUAGUGAUCCAAUUGAAGUAUAACCACAACUUGUAAAUGGCGAACAAUACAAUACACAAACUUACACGAUCGAAGUCUGGAAAGCCCAUUUACGCUAUUGAUGCAAUUCAGGCGUGGGAGGAGAUAUAACAGCCGAUAUUAAGAUGGGCUUUUGAAAGUACAGCAAUAAAGCUGGGCUUUGUUAUAUUGACAUGGCAUACACCACUAAAAGCUCUUAAAUGGUUUUAGAGGUGCUAAAAAGGUGUAAAAGCUAACACAUACUGCAGCCAAACGAGUAAUAAAAAGUCGGUGUCGCCAAGGAACUGAAAGCUAGCUUAUAAGUACCAGCCAAACAAAGCAUCCUAGUUGUCGGAAAAGGUCACAAAAUUAGAGUUCUCUUAUGGUGAUUGAGACGCUCUUAUACUUGGGUUCGAUUCUCAUAGCUGCAAACUACAACUACUUCUCCUCCAAUUCCGUCCUAGGGAUUUAGGGGGGAUCUUUAUCAUUAGUAUUCGUUUGUUUGUUUGUUUGUUUGUUUGUUUCAGUGUUUUGAAAAGCGAACCAUUGAGCGAAUCGAAAAAGAGUUCAGGUCACGGGUUACUAGUUCAACUGUCGGGUCAACCGUUAUUGACCCGUGAUAUCAUAAUUAUGUCAUUAAUUAAUUUAUUAAUAAUAAUAAAAUAUCUCUUAUUUUUUUACACUAAUUUUUAUACUUAAAACCUCAAAUUUUAAAAUUAAAACAUAAAUUUAUCUUAAAAUAAUGAACUGGACGGUUCAAUCACCGGUUUAACCUGUUGGGUUGCGGUUCAACCGUGAUUCUUACUGGGUUUGACCGGGUUUUGACCAAAACGGGUUUAGAGAGCUAACCGGACUGUUUCUUCGAUAAGUUCACGGUUCGACCGGUUGAACCCGGGUUUUGAAACCAUGGUUCUUCUCACAAUCAGUUUUGUAGCAUAUUUUUAAAAAUUUUGUUUGGUUGGGAGUUUCCGAAGCUUCUUUUUUGGAAUUUUUUCCUGAAAAGAACUAAUUUUUGAGAAAAUAUUAGAAAAUCGAUUUUAAAUUCUUAAAAAUCAUUUUCAUUAAAUAAACAACAGGAUACGAACACGAUGGAUGUUUUUGAUUUCAACACCAGCUUUUAAAAAACGAUAUCGUGAGCCAAACAGUAAAUUGCUCUCACUUACGUUAGGCCUUACAGGCCUCGCCCUACAAACAGAAGGGUUGGGAACUUGGGAUCAAAUAACCCUUACAAAGAUCUACAGCUCCUCCCAAAGCUAUUUUUUUUAGCUUCUCACUCCCAAAGCUAUUUUUUUUAGCUUCUCAUAACUGAGAAGCUGCUUUUGGUACAUCCACAGAAAACAAAUGCAGUAGAACAGAAUUAAAAGGAAAAAGGACAAAGUUCAGGAUACAUCACAAAAAGCCACAUAUGAAAGGACCCCUUAAGCAUAACAAAGCACUUCUAGCAAUAUUUACAUACCCGAUUUUGGUGUUUGGUGUUGCCCGCAAGUCAGCAACAAUAGAAAUCAUUCUAAAGAGAACCCAUCAUGGAUCCUGCAAGUCAGCAACAAUAGAAACCAUUCUAAAGAGAACCCAACAUCCUGUAGCUAGAACAUGACAGAAAACCAUAAGCAUGAGAGAGAGAGAGAGAGAGAGAGAGAGAGGGACGU